GACGUAGGGCGCGAGCGUUGUCCGGAUUUAUUGGGCGUAAAGAGCUCGUAGGCGGCUUGUCGCGUCGACUGUGAAAACCCGCGGCUCAACUGUUGGCUUGCGGUUGAUACGGGUUGGCUGGAGUUCGGUAGGGGAGACUGGAAUUCCCGGUGUAGCGGUGGAAUGCGUAGAGAUCGGGAAGAACAUCAGUGGCGAAGGCGGCCUGCUGGGCUGUUGCUGACGCUGAGGCGCGACAGCGUGGGGAGCAAACAGG
rnacentral:rRNA from 1 species